AUGGGCUUCUUCACGGACGCCUACGACCUCUUCUGCAUCGCCCUCGUCACCAAGCUGCUCGGUGACAAGCUCGGCCGCAAGAGCGUCUACGGCUUCACGCUCAUCCUCAUGGUCCUCUGCUCCAUCGCGUCCGGGCUCUCGUUUGGACACGAGGCCAAGGGCGUAAUGGGGACGCUAUGUUUCUUCCGCUUCUGGCUUGGCUUCGGCGUCGGCGGCGACUAUCCUCUGAGCGCCACCAUCAUGUCGGAAUAUGCUAAC
rnacentral:rRNA from 1 species